rnacentral:lncRNA from 1 species
GAACAUUUCUCACCUUCCUUGUCCAACCCUGUAACACCACCAUCUCCGCCACUCCCUAGCCGUCCGUCGUCCGUCAUCCGUCGGCGGCCGAAAAUCGCCACUGCUGGCCAACCUCCAAUGACGCCCAAAAUUUCACCAAAAGAUCCCCUUCUCCUCCUCUUUUCAGCCUCCAAAACCAUCUUUCUCGAAUCAUAACCAAACCUCUCAAAUAUUAGAUUAGAAUAUCCGGUGAAAACCCUAGUUGAUCCAAAGUCGCACAAAUUGAUACUUGAUAAUCCACAUACCCCCCUCAUCACGAAUCCAUGGGUUCUAACCUUCGAAUGUUUCCAAAUCUACUCGAAUCUCGAACCUCAGCAUGGAAUAACCCUAAGGUCUGUGUUACUCAAGUCUGGCCCAAUAGUUUGAAUCCAAAGAUGAGUUUGAGCCUCGGAAUAAUGUGUUCAUUUGUUCUUGGCGAAGAACACACGUUUACAUCAUUCUGGUGCUUGAAUCAUCGUCCAGUGUAGUUUAACUUCUCAUAAGCAAGUCUUCUUUCUUCUGUGUGUUUGAUUUAUACAUUGUUAGGAUUAGACUAGUUCAUAAUUAGUAUUUAAGGAUAGAGAAGCUUUCUCCUUAUCUGAUUAAGUCUUCCUCGUGUUAAUUGUUUUGGUUCGUUUUAAUCCUCACUUUUGGGUUAAAUUGUUAUGAUUUGUCACCCUGAUUUUCUGUUAGUUUGUUAUGAUUUUUCAUCUUGGUUUUCUGAUUAAUGAUUGUUUCGAUUAGAAAUUCAUGUUCACUACUAAUAAUGCAACUCAGAUUAAUUUCGUUUGAAUUGAGUUAGUUUAGUUUGAAUUAAUAAUUAAGUGAGAUUCAAGUUCCAUUUUUCAAUUAAUUGUUUGAAUUAGUUAAACUGUAGGAUCUAUCUUGAGUUAGUUGAAUUUUCAUUUGAGUAUUUAACCAUGGUUACUAAAUAAGGUGAAGGGGCUGGGGGUUAUAGUUUAACUAGUGUUAGUAAUUUCAGGGGGUCCUCAGGGGUAUUUUGGGCACCUGAAAUGGUUAGUUUGUUAAGGCGUGGUAAUCUAAAACUCAAGUAAGGGUAAUACAAGUAUUCCAUAAGUAGGAAAACACCCUAGGGCCUUCUAGAAGAGGGUCUUAGUGUAAGUUUAAGGAAUCUUAGAACAGUAACUUGGACAACAUGCCACAAAUUUAGGGAUUAAUCACUAUUUUCUGAAAUAAAAAAGGGGGAAAAUGGGGAAUGAGUUCCAAAAUAUUCUGCCCUCUUUCUUGCCUAGAAAUAGCAGGCCUAAUGUCUCCAUUUACAAGUUUACACACAUUUUAAAAUUCCCAAAAAAUCAUUCCCCAAGUUUUCAAUUCUGAUUUUUGAAUUUCAAAUUCCCAAAAACCUUCAAAACUAAACAACAAAAGAAAAUAUAGUAGAACACUCAAAAAAUACUAUUCCACUGAAUUUACAUGUCAAUUUCCAGUGUCCAUAGUUGAUUUGCAUCUUCUAGCUUAGUUUUGAUUUGCUUGAGCUUAUCUGAGAUCUACUGGUCCAAUUUGGGGUGUGCUCAAGUUCAUUUGGGUUUGUUUUCUAGCUGCUGAAACUUCAUAGAGUCUCCUAGGUUCAAUUACAAAUCAGUUUGGAUUCAAUCAAGUUUAUUUAGGUCAUUUUGUGGGUGUUACUCCUUUGUCAUUCAUUCUGGCAGUUUGUGGUGCUGUUUUGAGUCCAAAUCGAUCCUGUGAUGUUGAUUACAGCUGCUUGUUCAAUUGCGCCUGCUACUGUUGACUCAUUCUUCCUCUUAUUAUUUCUAAUUUUCCAGGUAUUUGCUUCUCUCCUGUUGUAUUGGUGCUGAUUUCAGGUGGAAAUGCAACUAAAAUACUUAUUCCCUUGCUUCUCGAACUCUGCUUGUUUGGACCACUAUAUGUUGAUGACACAAUAGUUUAAAUGCAAUAGCUUAGUGUAGCUUAGUUUCCAAUUUGUAUAACUAAGAUUGUUUGAGACUGUCAAUUUAUGGUAUUCAUUCAGUGGUGAUAUAAAUUAGCUUAAUAACCUCUUUAGCUAGAUUUUGUUUUACCAAGGAGAGUCAUAAAAUUUAAAAUUUGGCAAUUCAUAAUUAAUUCGGAACAGGUUGAUAGUGUGAAAUUAGUACAGGCAGAAGUAUGAAGCACGUUUACAUGGGUUCAUUCAAUAGUGAAUUCAUUUUCCGAGUCCCUUAAGAAUGAUCACAUGUACCCUAGCAUGGAAACCAGGAAUGUAUCAUGUUAAGAAUUUCUUAUACGAAAUUGUGCUUCACUGCCUAGUCUACUGUUUAAUUUUAGUUU